CUUUGAUAUCUAACAUAUUUUUUUCUUAUCCAUCUCUCUUACUCCAUUUAUUUCCUUUAAAUCGUUGAUUGGUUUGCACAAUUGAAGAAUCUAAAAGACGAACUUGCUUUUAGGGUUUUAUUUCCUCAAUUUUUAGACGGUUUGUUUUAAUCUUUAUAUACUUAAUAAUAUUUUUUCGUAUAAUAAUGUGCAGGUGAAUGUUUAUCAGAUCAUAAAGAGGAAAUUCUGAUUUUCAAGGUUGGUUGCAAAUCCGUUCAAUACAUGGUUUUCGACGGGAUCCCAUAGCAAUUAAUAUGCCAGUAACGAACUCCUAAUUUGGAGUAUCUAUUGUAGACGGCCUUUUUAUAACUUUAGAUGAGUAUGUUCAGUCUUAUGAUAUGAAAGGACAUGGUUAGCUUUUCAGUGUAUUUUCCAGUAUUUAGAUUUGUUUAUAGUUGCUUAGCUUUUGACUAUUUGUUGCUUCUUUUGUUGCUAAAUUGUUUUAGGGGAAGAUGUUGAUCACUUUUGAGACAUUUAGCCUGGAGAGUCUUCGUCAUACAUUUAAAGAUUGUAUAAUGGGUCAACAUUGAUAUGGGUGAAAGUGUAAUGUAGUAGGAUGAUCGUGAAAGAGGUGACGACAUUUCUUAAGAGUUUGAAAUAUCAGUUAUCUGCCAACGUGCUUCAUCUUCUGUAAAUUAUUUGGUGGUGUCAAGCAAGCACUUGAUGUCACUCCACCCAGCCAGCUCUUAGAAAAGCUCCAAGAUAGCAUCUCUAAAUAAAAACUCCAGCAAAGCCACAUGAACCAAUGAACCAGGAUUGUUACAAAGAAUCGAAAACUGAGGUUGGCGACGCUGAGGUACCUUUCUAGAGUCUGAAGUAGACAUUGAAAGUGAUGAGAAAAUAUAAGCGAAUGGAACCAAAUUGGCUGGUACAUGUUUUUCGUGAUUAGGACUUAUGAGCAUGCUACAUGCCCUGGAUGAGGUUUUUUUUAACUUUAUUUGCCUGUUACCAUAAGAGUUUAUUGCUGUUUUUUUUUUUUUUUUUUUUGCUUUUGAUUAUUUUUGGAGAAUGGAUGAUCUUUUGGUUUAGCUUAGUUGCAAUCAGCUUUUGCAAAGAGACUCGCCUGUUCUCCCAGCCCAAACUUACACCACUUAACCUUGAAAAUACCCUGGAAGAAAUCCCCUCAAGCUCAACCUGAGGCAAAAAACAUGCAUUUUUCAACUUGAAUUCGACAAUAGGGAACCAAGGUGUAAAAGCUCUAUUGUAGGCUGAUAAGGUUCGGCCUUAUUUCGAGAGAAUUAAGGCUAGGUAUAUAGUAUAUAAGGUAAGUUGUAUAAGACUGCUAGAAAUGAAAUAGGUACAACUCUUUUAUUAGUAAAUUCAUAACAACUUCAUUAUAUGUGUUAUCGAAACUUCUUCAAUUAUUUUAGGUUACUUUUCUCGGUA